GACGAACGCUGGCGGCGUGCCUAAUACAUGCAAGUAGAACGCUGAAGGAGGAGCUUGCUUCUCCGGAUGAGUUGCGAACGGGUGAGUAACGCGUAGGUAACCUGCCUGGUAGCGGGGGAUAACUAUUGGAAACGAUAGCUAAUACCGCAUAACAGUAGAUAUCGCAUGAUAUCUGCUUGAAAGGUGCAAUUGCAUCACUACCAGAUGGACCUGCGUUGUAUUAGCUAGUUGGUGAGGUAACGGCUCACCAAGGCGACGAUACAUAGCCGACCUGAGAGGGUGAUCGGCCACACUGGGACUGAGACACGGCCCAGACUCCUACGGGAGGCAGCAGUAGGGAAUCUUCGGCAAUGGACGGAAGGCUGACCGAGCAACGCCGCGUGAGUGAAGAAGGUUUUCGGAUCGUAAAGCUCUGUUGUAAGAGAAGAACGAGUGUGAGAGUGGAAAGUUCACACUGUGACGGUAUCUUACCAGAAAGGGACGGCUAACUACGUG
rnacentral:rRNA from 1 species